ACAAUGUAUACUGGUACUAGUAUUCUUCUGUUCUUGUGUUCGUGUUGUUAUCUCUUGAGUUUUUUUUGCUUGGCGUGUUGACUAAUAUCGUUUGAAGGAUGCUUUGCGAAAAUGGUAUAAAUGCCAACAGAAAUAUUAGGACAAUGAUAAAUAAAGUGGGAUUAUAGGAACAGAAGAACAGUGGAUUGCAGUCUCAAGAAUCAACCAACGUUUCUAGUGACCUGAUAUGAUUUGCGAACCAUUGGCCAAACUUCUGUCACUUUUGUUAGUCGGAGGCGAUAGACCAUUCAACUCAUCGGAAAAGCAUCUCCAAUGAUUCAGAUCGCUUUUGUCAAAAUAUGAGCCUGCAGAAAUUGAUUAACACCAGCAGUAUCCUCAGUAGUUACUCCCUUAACGUGAUGCCUAAAUUACUAAUGAAAAUUCAUGUCCUGUCCUAGCGUCGGUGAGGUAAGAAUAAAAUUUAAGAUUAAUGCAUGUUGUACUAUAAAGAA